GCCUGCUGCAUCUUUUUCACAGCUCGAGAUCCACCGAUGCCGCACUGGCACGCCUCUUUGCGGGCUCUCUACCUCCACUUACGUGUUGUCUUUACCACCGAUCAAGCACUCUCCCCUGCGCUCCUCUGUUCCUGCGUGCGUGUGUGAGUGUGCGUGUGUGCUCGCACGUUCCCCUUCUCUGCUCGUACCCCUAGCUUUCCAACGGAGACCGAGGUACCCUUCUCACGAGGACGCACUGUGGACUUUGUGCAAGCGCGCCUUUGAUGUUCGCUUUUCGAUAUCUAUUUUGAUGUGAAGGAAAGAGGGGGGGAGGAUGGACGCAAAACAAUGUGGUGGUGCGGAAGGAGUCAACGUACUCUCCGCCAUCCACGCGAUAUCCUUCACCAGCCAUUGAUGCUCUCCUUAUCCCCUGUUGUGUUCUUCCGCUCAUGCUCGAUGUCGAGGGAUCGAGUCAUCCUAGAUGUUUCGCCUCUCCCGUACCCCUCUCCCCCCCACCCGCCUUCUUGCGUACCCACCACGACGGGGGAGAUCCCCUCUUGAGGUGAAGAACAAGGAAUGAGGGGAGGGUGAUACGUAGGUCUACCUACUCGCGGGUGGUGUUAUCCGAUGAUGCCUUGAAAACAACAGAACUCUCAUGGGCCGCUUUGGCAGCGCUGUGCAGUAUCGAGAGGGCCAGUGGGGAGGAGGAUACCAGAUUGGUGGACUUCUCCACGGAAACAGGAAGCUCGCCAGAUGCGAGGACGAGUUUGGAGCCAUGCAGUCGAAUGCGUUGUGCUUCUCGUUUCACAUUACUCUCUUUCUCCCCCAUGUAUCUCUCUGCGCGUUGAACUCCGCCAGGCGCGCAAUCCGUUUGGGCACCAGCACUCUCGCCCACCGUCCCGGCCUGUUUUCUGAAUUCAUUGCCUCUGCGCGUGUUCAUCUCUCUUGCCUUUUUCCGCUCCGUUUUUCUCUUUUUGUUUCACUUUUUCAG
rnacentral:misc_RNA from 1 species